rnacentral:rRNA from 1 species
AGACAGCAGUAGCCGCGGUAAUACGUAGGGUGCAAGCGUUAAUCGGAAUUACUGGGCGUAAAGCGUGCGCAGGCGGUUUUGUAAGACAGAGGUGAAAUCCCCGGGCUCAACCUGGGAACUGCCUUUGUGACUGCAAGGCUAGAGUACGGCAGAGGGGGAUGGAAUUCCGCGUGUAGCAGUGAAAUGCGUAGAUAUGCGGAGGAACACCGAUGGCGAAGGCAAUCCCCUGGGCCUGUACUGACGCUCAUGCACGAAAGCGUGGGGAGCAAACAGGAUUAGAUACCCCCGUAGUCCCUGUCUCUUAUAC